rnacentral:rRNA from 1 species
UUUUCGGAUCGCAUGAUUUGAUUAUUAAAGUUCCAACGGUAAAAGAUGAGUAUGCGUCCCAUUAGCUAGAUGGUAAGGUAACGGCUUACCAUGGCAACGAUGGGUAGGGGUCCUGAGAGGGAGAUCCCCCACACUGGUACUGAGACACGGACCAGACUCCUACGGGAGGCAGCAGUGAGGAAUAUUGGACAAUGGGCGCAAGCCUGAUCCAGCCAUGCCGCGUGCAGGAAGACGGUCCUAUGGAUUGUAAACUGCUUUUAUACAGGAAGAAACACUCGGACGUGUCCGAACUUGACGGUACUGUAUGAAUAAGCAUCGGCUAACUCCGUG